rnacentral:rRNA from 1 species
AUGCGCGAAAGCGUGACGGGGGUACUCCGAGUGGUUCUCUGGUUUGAAUCUUUUGAUUUUGUGAAUAACUGGUAGAAUAAGAGGUGGGUAAGUCCUGUGCCAGCCGCCGCGGCAAUGCGGGUGGCACUAGUGGUAUCCACCAAUACUGAGUCUAAAACGCCCGUAGCUGGCUUCCCCCGUCCUCUGUGAAAUCUCACGGCCCAACCGUGGGGCUUGCAGGGGAUACUAGGAGGCUUGGGCUUGGGGGAGGUCAGAGGUACGGUAAGGGGAGGAGUAGAAUCCUGUAAUCCUUGCUGGACCCUCGGUGGCAAAAGCGUCUGACCUUAACACGUCCAACAGUGAGGGAGGAAAGCUAGCGGAACCAACCGGAUUAGAUACCCGAGUAGUCCUAGGCAGGAAAUCAUGCCAAAUUCGAUUUCCCCUCCUUUCUAGGGGUUGCUUAGCCGGACGGAAGCCUUUUAUCCUGCCCCUUGGGGAGUACGGCCGCAAGAUUGAAACUUAAACGGCUUGGUGGGGGAGCACA